CUAUCUGAGACAUAAAAAUAUACCGGGCGUCAGGAACGUCUGAAAUAAAGCGUAAAAGCAAACCAGCAUGGCGGUGGGGUGGAGUGAAAUUACUCUUUGAAAGUUGAUUUUGCACCUAUAUUUGUAAAUUUGCACUAUAGGUAGCACGUGCACGCUGCACAUGGUUUCCGGUUGCCGCCAUUUUCUGGUGUUUCAGUUUGCGGUUGGUUCUCACUGCUGCAGUGUAAAACGGUGAUUUUGCGAAGAGCAACAAGUCGAACUGCGAAGCUAUGGGAGGAACUGGCCCGGAUAAGGGGCGUCGAAGAAGACGAGGCGCUGAAGAAGGAGGUAACUGAAGAGACGCGUCGGCUCUGCCAGGAGUUUGCCAGUCGACUGCUUCUAGGUCUUGAUUCCAGACCGAACAGUGACGAAGAACUCAUGUCGUUCCUCGCCCACGGCUGCGGCACCACGGUGGGGGAGCUGGCGGACCCCCGGAAUGCGGUGAGAUGCAUUGAGGGUUCAGGAUUGGAGGUUCAGGGAGCGGAACUCCCGCUUGAUCAGGAGGCACCGCUGGCAGCUGUGGCCGCAGCAGCUGCGGCUCAUGCGGUCUUCUACUGCCCAUUCAGAGGGCCUUCCAAAACCCUGAUGGAGGUCAUCUAUUAUAGGGCGGUGAAAGGCAGGAUUCCGCUCAGCAAGGCCGCGAAGACAGUGCUCGG
rnacentral:lncRNA from 1 species